UCAUAUGUUUUACUCCAUGAAUAAAGUCGAAUACACUCGAAUGUAACAACUGAUUUGCUGGACUUCCCUGAUUCACACCUAUUUUUUCCUGGAUACAAUAACUUAAAUAAAUCAAAUACAUAUUAUAACCACAGAAAAGAUAUCUAAAAUCCGUAAUAUAGCAAAUAAUACCUAUGAAUGACUAAUUACUAAAAGAUAGUGCUUUAUAAAAAUUUAUCAAUAAACAUAGCAUCCUCACAAGCACCUUUAAAGCCCUUUUCAAGCAGUGAAGUUAGCCUAGCCCUGAUUUGAGAGUGAUUCUCGCAUCUUCUUCCCAGUUCUCUUUGCUCACAAAUCUAGUCGCAAAUGCACUUUCAAUCAACUUUGCACUUAUCUUUUUUUUGACUUUUUUCUUCGUUCUUUUUCCAUUUGGGUUUCUUCUAGGUUUUCUUCAUCGUUGUUAGUUUUGAUUGUUGCCUUGACAGAAAUUGAGUAGAAAUACUCGAUAAGUUGUUUGCGGGAUUCUCUUCUUUUGCAUCUCAAAAGUCUUCUUCUUUGAAUCGCCUUCACAUUAUCGGCAAAGUAAAUUAAAAGAAUUGGUCAAAGUUUAUUUAUUUCAUCUGUCUUAAUUUAUGUGAUUGUAUUUUUACAAACAUGAAAUUUAAAUAAAAUUAGUGCGUUGGUGAGAGUGGGGAAGGUUGAGAAGGAGUUUUCGAAAAUAUUUUCCUCCAAUUGAAGGAAAAUUAAUUGACAAGAAAAAUAUUUUCUAAAAUAUUUAAGCCAACCAAACAUGACAAAAUUGGGAAAUAUUUUUUGAAAAAUAUUUUCCUUCAUACCAAACACAGGUUCAAAUUAAAGCUAACAAAAUAAAGGCUAAAUGUUUACUGCAAUUAGCAUUUUUGGCUUCUUAAGAAAUUCUGGGAGCAGUUAGUCCAAAGAGGAUCCAGUCUUGAAAUGAAAGCCCGGGAAUCGGAAGGCAAAUAAUUUUGCCCACUCACAAAAGGGCCUCGCGAUUCAAACUAAACGGAUUAAUAACAACACACAUCAAAGGAAGAAGGAGAAUUGGGAUCGAAUCCUUACGGACUAAAAGAAAAGAUUGAAACUUCACAAAAUUUAGUUGGGCCUUUAGGUCAUGAUCCAAAUAAAUUAAAUAAAAAUAUCAAAAAUGGAUUAUCACAACAUUUACUAAGAACACCGUUCGAGCUCAUUUGAGUAGCAACAUUCUAAUUUCAAUUUAACCCUAUCCACAUUAUGAACACAUAAUUCAAGCUUUGUUUGUGACCCAUCAAUCAACAUUGAGACCCAGGCCAUCCACUUACUACUCAACUUAUAUUAAUCCAAAAAAAAUGUUAAACCAAACUUUUGUAAGAAACAACAAACCAUCAAAAUUUUCAUGAUUAAAUCAUAAGUCUGAAAAUCAGUAUCAACGUGAACAAAGUCGAAUGAAAGUUUUUAAAAAAAAAUAAUUCUCCAC
rnacentral:lncRNA from 1 species